rnacentral:rRNA from 1 species
AGUGAACGCUGGCGGUAGGCCUAACACAUGCAAGUCGAACGGCAGCACAGUAAGAGCUUGCUCUUACGGGUGGCGAGUGGCGGACGGGUGAGGAAUACAUCGGAAUCUACUUUUUCGUGGGGGAUAACGUAGGGAAACUUACGCUAAUACCGCAUACGACCUACGGGUGAAAGCAGGGGAUCUUCGGACCUUGCGCGAUUGAAUGAGCCGAUGUCGGAUUAGCUAGUUGGCGGGGUAAAGGCCCACCAAGGCGACGAUUCGUAGCUGGUCUGAGAGGAAGAUUAACCACACCGAGACUGAAAAAGGGACCAGACUCCUACGGGAGGGAGCAGUCGGGAAUAUUGGACAAUGGGCGCAAGCCUAAUCCAGCCAUACCGCGUGGGUGAAGAAGGCCUUCGGGUUGUAAAGCCCUUUUGUUGGGAAAGAAAAGCAGCAGGUUAAUACCCCGCUGUUCUGACGGUACCCAAAGAAUAAGCACCGGCUAACUUCGUG